rnacentral:rRNA from 1 species
ACUCAAAUGAAUUGACGGGGGCCCGCACAAGCGGUGGAGCAUGUGGUUUAAUUCGACGCAACGCGAAGAACCUUACCUAGGCUUGACAUGCACGCGAAGGUUGUGAGAGAUCGCGGCCGCCCUUCGGGGCGCGUGCACAGGUGCUGCAUGGCUGUCGUCAGCUCGUGUCGUGAGAUGUUGGGUUAAGUCCCGCAACGAGCGCAACCCUUGCCCCCUGUUGCCAGCGGCGGUAGAGAUACCGGCCGGGGACUCUGGGGGGACUGCCGGUGCCAAACCGGAGGAAGGUGGGGCCGAAGUCAAGUCAUCAUGGUCCUUACGUCUAGGGCUACACACGUGCUACAAUGGGCAGUACAGCGGGGAGCGAGGCAGCAAUGCCGAGCCAAUCCCAAAAGCUGCCCUCAGUUCGGAUUGUCGCCUGCAACCCGGCGGCAUGAAGCUGGAAUCGCUAGUAAUCGUGGAUCAGCAUCGCCACGGUGAAUACGUUCCCGGGCCUUGUACACACCGCCCGU